rfam:Ciona savignyi cont_9206, whole genome shotgun sequence.
GCACUGCUGGUGUAGUGGUAUCAUGCAAGUUUCCCAUUCUUGCGACCCGGGUUCGAUUCCCGGGCAGUGCA